rnacentral:rRNA from 1 species
CGGAAUGGGUGAGUAACACGUGAUUAAUCUACCUUUUAGAUUGGAAUACCCAUUGGAAACAAUGGCUAAUGCCGGAUACGCAUGGAACCGCAUGGUUCCGUUGUGAAAGGCGCUGUAAGGCGCCACUAAAAGAUGAGGGUGCGGAACAUUAGUUAGUUGGUGAGGUAAUGGCCCACCAAGACUAUGAUGUUUAGCCGGGUCGAGAGACUGAACGGCCACAUUGGGACUGAGAUACGGCCCAAACUCCUACGGGAGGCAGCAGGA